UGGGGAAUCUUGGACAAUGGGGGCAACCCUGAUCCAGCCAUGCCGCGUGAGCGAAGAAGGCCUUAGGGUUGUAAAGCUCUUUCAGCUGGGAAGAUAAUGACGGUACCAGCAGAAGAAGCCCCGGCUAACUCCGUGCCAGCAGCCGCGGUAAUACGGAGGGGGCUAGCGUUGUUCGGAAUUACUGGGCGUAAAGCGCACGUAGGCGGAUCAGUCAGUCAGGGGUGAAAUCCCGGGGCUCAACCCCGGAACUGCCUUUGAUACUGCUGGUCUUGAGGAUGAGAGAGGCGAGUGGAAUUCCGAGUGUAGAGGUGAAAUUCGUAGAUAUUCGGAGGAACACCAGUGGCGAAGGCGGCUCGCUGGCUCAUUUCUGACGCUGAGGUGCGAAAGCGUGGGGAGCAAACAGGAUUAGAUACCCCCGUAGUCC
rnacentral:rRNA from 1 species